UGCAGAAGGAACCAGAAUGUUCCCCAAAGCUGCCUCAGCACAUUUUCUUGGUGACAUUAAAGAAAUGCUGCUGACAUUCCUUCCUAGACCUUGAAAAGGGGCAUCCCCACUCUAUAUAUUGUUGAGAUCUCCAGUGUCUUUGUAAUUCCCCACUAUGACUUAUGUUUAGACUUAUCCUUGUCUGGGGGAAAUUUGUUUGCCUGCCUGUGGCAGAAGCAAUUUCAUUUGCAUUGUGAAAUGUCCCUCACUUAAGUAUGGUGUCUCUUAGUAUUCAUGUGCUCCUUUUCUUUAUUUCCUUUUCCCAUCCAUCUAAUCUAUCCGUGGGCUUGUUCUCCUUCAGACCGAUCCCAUUCAUUGAUGGACUUUUAUAACUGACUUGUGUGGAGGAAGCAGGCUCAGAAGGAAUGAAAUGAAACCUGCUUUAUCAACAGCAUUCUCUGGAGAUUUUCAGAACAUUAUCUUCCUCUCUGAUUUAGCUGGUCGAACAAGAUGACGACUGAAUGAAGCACGGAUUUGGCAACAUGGAAGGCACUGGUGGGAUGGGAAAAUGCCGGGAAAGUGCCAUGAGUUGACAUAUCAGAAGUCAGUCUAUGUACACCAAAACUGCCAUGCUGGAGAAACCACGUAAGAGACCACAUAGAGCCAGAGAUGCCAAAAGACACCAGCUGUACCAGGCUCCAGCUCUCUAACUCUUCCCAACAAGGAUGAGGAAACAUGUGAGUGACCCAGGCUUCAGAAGAUUCCAGGCCCCAGUCUUCAAGCUGCCCUAGCCAAUGCCAAGGAGAGGAGACAAGCUGCCCUCUACUAAGUCCUUCCCAAAUUGCAAAUUCAGGAGGAAAAUAAAUAUUAUUUUAAGCCACUAAAUUUGGGGAUGGUUUAUUUAUGCAGCAACAGACACUGGAACACCUUAUUUUUUAUACUAUUGUUAUUUGGAUGUUCUGUUACCUGCAACCAAAUGAAUCCCGACCUAAAACACUUAGCAGUAGUAAGAUUAAAAGAAAUUGCUAAAAUGACCCUUUAAGUUACUGUAGAUGCUGAUGAUCCAUUCUAUUCCUCUCUUAGCCUGGCUAUGGUAAUCAAUUUAGCUAUAGUAGUAUGUACUGUAGUAGAGUAGAGUACAGUAGAGCAGAGCAAAGUAAUAGUGUAGUAGAGUAUGAUUUUCCACAAGUUGACUUAAUUUAGUUACAUAAAGGUUUUAUUUUUCAAUAGGACUGGGCUAGAAUUUCAAUUCAAGAC